UGCUAGCCAGGCUCCGCGAUGUGCUCAGCGUACUCCGUUCAACGUAGCGGCAAUGGGGAAGAUGUCGGUGCCACAGACGGAAGAGUGCCACAGAAAGGUCACUGCACACAUAGUCAAAAGACUGCAUCCCUUUUCAGAGGUGGAAUCUCCAACAUUUAGGGAUAUGAUGAAAACUCUCAACCCAAAAUGCAUACCACCUCCCAGGGACUACCUGUCAAACACAUUGAUCCCGGCAUGGUACAAGAAGAAUCGGAAUCGAGAAUCGUCAGGAAUCGGAAUCGAAACAAAGAAUCGGAAUCGUUCGAAUUCAAACGAUACCCAACCCUAAUCGUAACCCAUGUAUUUAGAUUCAUAUCGGCAUUCAAGGCAGAGAUGCACACCCCUAGUAAACAUGGUAGGCUAUGGGCUACAAGGAGCUAGCAGCUACACAACAGCUAAGCACACAAUAGCAUGCAAGCUAGGCACAUAUAAUAAGUGUUCCUAAUUGAACAAUAUUGCAUUUGAAAACACUACAUUUGUCAAUAUAAUCACGUAUCAAAUCAUUUUAGUCGCAUAUUACAAAUACAAAGUCUUCAAGGCAGAAUAUCCAGUAACAAACUUGUCCGCAUCAUUCAACAUACUGCAUCAUUAGCUUAACUUAACUAUUAAAGCCACUUGGUGACACAGAAAAAAAAAUUACCACUCCACUGCAAUUUAAAGACAACGUCCUGUAAGUCUGUCAUGAGGUCAGAGUUUUUCAUACCAACAAUUGUUCUCUGAGUAAUUUCACUUGAUCAAGCUUUUUUAUUAACUUCAAACUACACACUAAUAAUUAACUUUUUUUUAAGAAUGUAAUAUGAUUCGUGCUGAUAUGAUAUUGGAUUAAUAUUGGUAUCGGCCAAUACUCAAGGCUCCAAUAUUGGUAGUUGUAUCAGGACAGCACUACUUUAUUAUGAGUUUGAAGUACCACAUGCUUAAAAAUAUAUCAAGCUGAAUUCAAAAGCCCGAGGCUACAUAAGAGGCACUGAACAGGUGUAUUUCAUCAGGUAAAAUAGUCUAUGAUUAGUCAACUAUUCAAAUAGUUGUUAGUUGCAUGCCAUCUGACUGACUUACCUGAGUGCAAUUUCUUGUGGUUUGAACGACGAGAGGCGGGGCAGGCUGUUCUUCUCAUGGUCAUGGACGAGGUUCUCCGGGAUCUCCUCCACACUGGUGAAGGUUCCUGCCGACAACAAGGACACAAAAACUUCUAACAGUUGAGAACAAGAUGUUGUGCUUGUCACAAACAAAGAUGCGGUCCAGGACGAACUUGCUGAUUGGGACGUGAGUUGUAUUCCUGAGUUUACUGUUCUUACAAACAGUUGAGAGCAGUUGGAUUCGCUUCGCAAAAACGUCUUCUCAGUCAGCCGUCAUAGGGGAAGCUGAGGACUGACUCCACACACAAUAAAUAAAUAAUU